CCUCAGCUUGGCAUUGGUCUUUUGGCAUCGCGACUUGAUUCAUUUUUGUUUGUCUUCUUUCAUAAUUGAAACCCAGACGAAAUUAGUGUUUCUAUCUUUACUUAACUUUUAUUCAGAUAAUACGAAAAUAUCACAUUUUCAUAUUAUCCAAUAAAAUCUAAGUAAAGAGGGGCAGCUGCCAACACCCAAUUUCGUCCGG
rnacentral:lncRNA from 1 species